GAAAUGUGCCGAAGGGGUUUUUUUCGGAUGACGAAAUUGAAGAAAUUGAUGAGGAUCAAAUUGAGGACGACGAUCGUACCAUACUUACGAACGACGAGGAGGAGGGUUGGGGUGUCGUAAACAGGUAUGUAGAUGAUUCCCCGAGCUCUGCAAUCGGAUCUGAAGGCAAACUCGAAACUUAUGCCAACCUAGCUAUUGAUGUCUACAACCAAGUCAAGGUAGGAUGAUGAAUCUUUAAUUCUACUUAUUUUAUGAUAAAUCUUUCAAACAAAAAAAAAAUCUUUUUGUUUGUUUGUGCGUGUGUUUGUGCAGUCGAAGGAACACCGUUUGGUGAAGGUGGUGAGCUCAACUCGAUAUUUUUGCCAGGGUUACUUAUAUAGUAUAACCUUUGAAGCCAAACUUCCUGGCCAAGAUGAUUCGGAUGCACUCACUUUAGUUACUGAGGUUUACGAAGAUUUCUCCGGUGAACGUCAAGUAGACUUUGUUUGCAAGCCCGAUGAACGUCCACCUUACGAUCCCUAAACCCGAUAAUCUAGGUAUUUCGUUUUCCAAUUCUGGUAGAGAAAAUAAUUAUGUAUUUAUUUGUUGAAUUCAUGGGUUAGAUUCGCAAACGCAGUCGCUCGUAGCCAAUUUAAAAUUUAAUUUUUUUCAUGGUUUAUUGAGCAUUCCGCGCUAUGUUAAUUAAUUGCAAUUUAGUCUCUGAGGUAGAUGGGCCUUCUUUCGGUUUGCUUUUGCAGAAUUUAGUACACUCGUAAAGGCUGCAUUUGGAUGCAAGGGUUUGCAUUUGAGGGAUUUUCGAACGACUUUUAAUGAGAUGGAUUUGAAAUGUUGGUGAUUCGAAAUCCACAUUUGCAGAAUAUAGACGGUGCUCAACUCUUCUUACGACGUGGAAUAAUUAAACGAAUAUGAUCCCGAUGAAGAAUUGAGUUGGCCGGGUUGAUACUUAAGAGUUUCUUUCACAUUUGAUUGAUCGUAAUGGUAGGGUUAAGAAGUACUUGUAUGUCAAUUAGUUCAUUAAUUCCUCGUAUAUUACAUUUAAUUUUUCGCUUGCUCAUUCAUUUUAAUUUCUAAAUAA